rnacentral:rRNA from 1 species
GACGAACGCUGGCGGCGUGCUUAACACAUGCAAGUCGAACGGAAAGGCCCUGCUUUUGUGGGGUGCUCGAGUGGCGAACGGGGGAGUAACACGUGAGUAACCUGCCCUUGACUUUGGGAUAACUUCAGGAAACUGGGGCGAAUACCGGAUAGGAGCUCCUGCUGCAUGGGGGGGGUUGGAAAGUUUCGGCGGUGGGGGAUGGACUCGCGGCUUAUCAGCUUGUUGGUGGGGUAGUGGCUUACCAAGGCUUUGACGGGUAGCCGGCCUGAGAGGGUGACCGGCCACAUUGGGCCUGCGAUACGGCCCAGACUCCUACGGGCGGCAGCAGUGGGGAAUCUUGCACAAUGGGCGGAAGCCUGAUGCAGCAACGCCGCGUGCGUGAUGACGGCCUUCGGGUUGUAAACCGCUUUCGCCUGUGACGAAGCGUGAGUGACGGUACUGGGUAAAGAAGCACCGGCUAACUACGUG